UUCUCCCUCUUCUACGACGGGUUCUCCGUGGACGGGCACGGGGACUCGGACAGCAAAGAGUCGGAGGCUCCCGGGGAGGCGCUGAGCGAGGAGGAGGAGGAGGAG